rnacentral:lncRNA from 1 species
GUCUGUUUUCACGGUGUGAGCUGUGAGCGCAGCGCAAGGCGCUCCUUGGGGCUGGUACUGCACGCUGGGCAGGAGGGGCUCACCCAGGCCCAACGGGCGCGGCCAGUGUGGGGUCGCGGUCGGUCCCGGCGCAGCGACUCUUCCUUCGGCCAGCAGGGGUCAGCCGCAGCCGCUGUUGGCGCCUCCAGUGAGCCGCUGAGAAGCGCGGAACGCAGCCCCGGAUUUGGCGCCCGAAGGACCCUUGGAGUCUGGGACAUCCUCUGAAAGUAUAAAGGUUGACCUGAACAGAGAAGAGAGAAGAAGGGAGAAGGAGGGACAGAGAGCAAAGGACGGAGAGAAUGAGAAGCAAGUGAGUAAGAAUGGAGAUGGAGAAGAGGAAACUGAAUAAGUUCCUGUGCAUAGGAGGUACAGGUGAGGUGUUUAUUGUGCCAGGAACUCCAAACUGAUGACUAAUUUAUUCUGCAUAAUAACUCUGAAGUGUGGGUUGUAUCAUCAUCACCUUAUGCACAAGGAAGCUGAGGUUCACAAAGAACGAGUGGCAGAAGUGGGGCAUUAACCCAGGACUGACUCCCAAAUCUGUGCUCUUUCUUCCACCCUCCAUAGGGCCAAGAGUGGGUAAUGGGUAGACUAGGGUAGAGGGAAGAGAAUUUAGGAAGGCAACAGGGUUGGAGAAGUCUAACAAAAUCCAAGCGCUUGCCAAGCCCGGCCACUCAUGCCUGAGCAGCUGGCUGAUUUUUCAUAAAAUAAAAGAAGUCCCUGAAUUGAGAAAUAUGUGUGU